AGAAUGACUCUCGACAACGGAUAUCUAGGCUCUUGCAUCGAUGAAGAACGUAGCGAAAUGCGAUACUUGGUGUGAAUUGCAGAAUCCCGUGAACCAUCGAGUCUUUGAACGCAAGUUGCGCCCGAUGCCAUUAGGUUGAGGGCACGUCUGCCUGGGCGUCACAU
rnacentral:rRNA from 3 species